UCCGGUUUGUCACCGGCAGUCUGAAGUGAGUCCCCAACUUAAUGCUGGCAACACUUCACGGGGGUUGCGCUCGUUGCGGGACUUAACCCAACAUCUCACGACACGAGCUGACGACAACCAUGCACCACCUGUAUACCGACCACAAGGGGGGCCACAUCUCUGCAGCUUUCCGGUAUAUGUCAAACCCAGGUAAGGUUCUGCGCGUUGCUUCGAAUUAAACCACAUGCUCCACCUCUUGUGCGGGCCCCCGUCAAUUCCUUUGAGUUUUAGCCUUGCGGCCGUACUCCCCAGGCGGACCACUUAUCGCGUUAGCUGCGACGCGGAGGGGGUCGAUACCCCCCACAUCUAGUGGUCAUCGUUUACGGCGUGGACUAC
rnacentral:misc_RNA from 1 species